rnacentral:rRNA from 1 species
AGAAUCAACGCUGGCGGCGUGCCUAACACAUGCAAGUCGAACGAGAAAGGGGAGCAAUCCCUGAGUAAAGUGGCGCACGGGUGAGUAACACGUGACUAACCUACCCUGGAGUGGGGGAUAACUGAGGGAAACCUUAGCUAAUACCGCAUAACACCUACGGGUCAAAGGAGCAAUUCGCUUUGGGAGGGGUCGCGGCCGAUUAGUUAGUUGGCGGGGUAAUGGCCCACCAAGACAGUGAUCGGUAUCCGGCCUGAGAGGGGCGCGACGGAACGACGACCUAGGAACGUGAAACACGGUCCAGACUCCUACGGGAGGCAGCAGUGGGGAAUUUUGCGCAAUGGGGGAAACCCUGACGCAGCAACGCCGCGUGGAGGAUGAAGUACUUCGGUACGUAAACUCCUUUCGAUCGGGACGAUAAUGACGGUACCGGAAGAAGAAGCCCCGGCUAACUUCGUGCCAGCAGCCGC